rnacentral:rRNA from 1 species
UAUGGCGACCGGCGCACGGGUGAGUAACACGUAUCCAACCUGCCGAUGACUCGGGGAUAGCCUUUCGAAAGAAAGAUUAAUACCCGAUGGCAUAGUUCUUCCGCAUGGUAGAACUAUUAAAGAAUUUCGGUCAUCGAUGGGGAUGCGUUCCAUUAGGUUGUUGGCGGGGUAACGGCCCACCAAGCCUUUGAUGGAUAGGGGUUCUGAGAGGAAGGUCCCCCACAUUGGAACUGAGACACGGUCCAA